rnacentral:rRNA from 1 species
UACGUAGGGUGCGAGCGUUGUCCGGAAUUAUUGGGCGUAAAGAGCUCGUAGGCGGUGUGUCACGUCGGCCGUGAAAACCUGCAGCUUAACUGUGGGCGUGCGGUCGAUACGGGCAUCACUGGAGUUCGGCAGGGGAGACUGGAAUUCCUGGUGUAGCGGUGAAAUGCGCAGAUAUCAGGAGGAACACCGGUGGCGAAGGCGGGUCUCUGGGCCAUACCUGACGCUAAAGCGCGACAGCAUGGGGAGCAAACGGG